rnacentral:rRNA from 1 species
AUGGCGAUGAAGCCAACAAAGAAGAAACGCCUCACGUGGUUGCCGCAAGAUAUCAUCGAACUGAUACUUGUGAGGCUUCCGGUGAGCAAUCUACUGAGGUGCCGUGUUGUCUGCAAGCAGUGGGAUGGCAUCAUCCGGGAUCCGCAGUUCACCAUGGCACACCUCAGGCGUGCGCGGCAUCGCCCCCUUUUAUUUUUUCAACGAGGCCGGGCUUCAGGCAAGUCCUUCCCUAGCGAAGCAGUCCUCUUUGAUGAGGCCUGGUCGCCAUCGACACGGGAUGUGCCCGUGAUUGAUCCUGAUGAUUUCUUGUGCGCUUCGUGCAAUGGCCUUGUUUGCUUGUACUCAAGUAACUCAACCAUCAAGAUAGCCAACCUCGCUACCGGUGAAAGUAUGCACCUAGCCAAACCCGUCAAGUACGCUCCGCAAGAUCAAUCUUCGUUCUACAGCUUUGGUUUCAGCCCAGCUACAAAUGAAUACAAGAUCGUGCACUUUCUUCCGGGCCAGAAGCUCCACCCUGCUGGUGCUUCCUUCAGUGUCAUUCAAGUUUACACGCUAGGCGAUGACAAGUGGAGGGACAUCAGAACUCUAGAGGUUGUAAGCCUGUACUGUGUGAAACAAAGUGGAGUUGUCAAUGUUGACGGAGCAAUGUACUGGCUAACCCAUGACGAAGAAAGCAACUGGCGACGGGCCGUUAUAUCCUUUGAUCUCAGAGAUGAAUGUCUAGAAUUAAUACGGUUGCCCGAAGUUGAUUUUGCGGAUCCUGCAUUUGCUAAUCCGUUCUGUUACUGGAUCACGGAGAUAGAUUCCAAGGUGUCUGUGGCUGCUGUUCAAGCCAGAAGAGAUUCCUUGCUCGCAAGGAAGCUGCAUAUCUGGACACUUGACAACAAGGUAGAGAAAAGCUGGACCCAGAAGUAUAGUAUUGAGUUACCAGCACUUAGCGUUCUUGGACCGCAUUUCAUCUACGGGGAUAAGAUUAUCAUGCACAGUCGUAAUGGUGGCAUAUAUUGCCAUGAAUUAACAAGCCAGUGA